UACAUGUGGGGCAAGCGUUGUUCGGAAUUACUGGGCAUAAAGGGUGCGUAGGCGGCUUGUUAAGUCAGGGGUGAAAGUUUUCGGCCCAACCGGAAAAUUGCCUUUGAUACUGGCGAGCUGGAGUGCGUGAGGGGUGACCGGAACGAGUGGUGUAGCGGUGAAAUGCGUAGAUAUGACUCGGAAGGCCAAAGGCGAAGGCAGGUUACUGGUACGCAACUGACGCUGAGGCACGAAAGCGUGGGGAGCAAACAGG
rnacentral:rRNA from 1 species